GAUGAACGCUGGCGGCGUGCCUAAUACAUGCAAGUCGAGCGAACAGACGAGGAGCUUGCUCCUCUGACGUUAGCGGCGGACGGGUGAGUAACACGUGGAUAACCUACCUAUAAGACUGGGAUAACUUCGGGAAACCGGAGCUAAUAACGGCUAAUAUAUUGAACCGCAUGGUUCAAUAGUGAAAGACGGUUUUGCUGUCACUUAUAGAUGGAUCCGCGCCGCAUUAGCUAGUUGGUAAGGUAACGGCUUACCAAGGCGACGAUGCGUAGCUGACCUGAGAGGGUGAUCGGCCACACUGGAACUGAGACACGGUCCAGACUCCUACGGGAGGCAGCAGUGGGGAAUAUUGCGCAAUGGGCGAAAGCUUGACGGAGCAACGCCGCGUGAGUGAUGAAGGUCUUCGGAUCGUAAAACUCUGUUAUUAGGGAAGAAAAGAUGUGGAAGUAACUAUGGACGUCUUGACGGUACCUAAUGAGAAAGCCACGGCUAACUUCGUG
rnacentral:rRNA from 1 species